rnacentral:rRNA from 1 species
UACGUAGGGUGCGAGCGUUGUCCGGAAUUAUUGGGCGUAAAGAGCUCGUAGGCGGUGCGUCGCGUCGGCCGUGAAAACCUGGGGCUUAACUCUGGGCGUGCGGUCGAUACGGGCAUCACUAGAGUUCGGCAGGGGAGACUGGAAUUCCUGGUGUAGCGGUGAAAUGCGCAGAUAUCAGGAGGAACACCGGUGGCGAAGGCGGGUCUCUGGGCCGAUACUGACGCUGAGGAGCGAAAGCAUGGGUAGCGAACAGG